GGGAACGUUUCAUUUAGUCCAACUACAGUGGUGGUUCUGGGCCCUGGGCAUAUUCUUUUUUAUACCUCUUUUUAUUUUCGAAAGUACAUACGGUAUAAUGCAAAAUCGACGUUUUUUUUUCUAGAUCACACUAAGGAGUCCUUUUAUGGUCCAUUGACUAUACUGUUUGAUCGUCUAUUGUUGGGACCUAUUCCGGCAGGUCGCGCGCGCAAAAAAGACGUUUCCAGCUUCGUUCCAAAUUCCAGUGGGAUUCAGGUGAAUCCACUAACGCUGUUACGAUCGGUUCUAAAUACUUGUGCAGAUGAACCAGUUAAAACUCAUUACCUCCGCCCAUCGACUUAUUGAGAUGAUCGGAGAGGUGGCUGUUAUUGGGGGGAAAAGACUGACUUAAAUGAUGAUCAGGACAAAUUCUUCUUGGAAGUCGAUCCUAAUCGGAAUUUAAACACUUAACUGCAUCCAGAUAAGGGUAUUACGUCCACUGUCACGUGCUAUUGUGUUUACUAUGUCAACAUGAUCAAAUUUUGAUAACACACAUGUCUCAUCCUCCUUUUGAUGUUGACAUUCCAAACUGGAGAAUCCGGAAAGUUCUAGCUUGGGCAUAUAGGGGCUUACUACGUACGCUCACGAUGGUUCGAUGUUUUUUUCCGUGGGAAGAGGCGGCGACAAAAUAUCGCGUGAUGCUGAGACUCCCCUUUCGCAACAACAUUUGAAGGUUUUUUCUGUUCCAGUCAUUUUGUUACCUCUUGUUUAGUUGCCACAGCUACUCUUGAGUGUCUCAACUGGAUUGGACAUUAGAUGAAAAAGGAUUCAAGGACAUCAGUCUCAAAAUGUAUCAUCAACGUGAUCAAUAUCACGGGAUCCUUUUUUUUUCAAAAAAUGUUUAGCCAGAUCUUCUUGUGGGCGUAUUUCAUUUGACUAUUGAACACAUCAAAACUAGUGCGUAGCUUUUAUUCUCCAUAUUCCAGUUUUUCAGGUUUUGUCGCGGUUUCUUUCCGCCAUGAACGCGUAACAAAAAUUGUAGGAAAAAAAGAGUAAAGGUUAUUGCCUUGGACAAGACAUUUGGACCGCUGUGGCCGACUUAGUUUUUUUUUUAUAAUGACGCCUUAUCAUUAAUGUGACUGUAGAGAAAGAUUUCUUUUUUGACUCUCUCUUAGCGACUGCCACACAAUGACCACGUAACGGAGUGGCUACUACGCCAAAGUUCACAUGACGCAGCGAAAUUCGUUUUAUGUAUAUGGUGGCGUGAUGGUGGCCUGAUGUGUCCAGCGAUCAACAGUAAUCUGACCAACAGCCAACUUGUUUGACCAUAAUCCGAUCAGAUGAUUUCAAAUCUCUUUAAAAGCAUUAAUUUAUCGGGAUGUAUCCAGUGCACCAUUUUCUUCUUUUUAAUGAACGGGUUGUUUUGAAAACAGAUAGACCCGUUGGACUAUGAACUUUACGAUUCCUUUUUUUCUCUUUCGACAGAUUUUGCACUUUGCUUCCAUCUCUUAUUGCGCGCCCUUGACUCGCCCCCUUCCGGAUCAAAAUUUCAAGCUGUGCGUCUGUCGGGGCAAAGUUGGAACCAACCUCCCUCAAUCCGGAAAGUGAUGAGUAUUGUAGUAGGGGCGGAUGUCUCCGUGGCUACACUCACACAGUGUCGUCGACGCAGUAAAUUCUUACUCAAGGAAAUAAUUUAUUGCAAUGUACGUACGUACGUCACGAACUUUGUGGCCUCGCACGCAAUAAGAAAUUUUGUUUUGAUGGCGGAAGUGAAGUCACGAAUUUACAGCAGAAAAAUUGAGAUGGCGACACACAGCUUUGAUGUGGCGUGAUGUCCGUAUGAUAAGAAACAAGCCUUGAUAAUUACUGCAAUCAUUCCAGGUACGAAUCGCUUACGUCAACGAAAACAAGGCGAACUUGAAUGGCGGCCAAUUGGCACGCAUGUUUUAGACCUAAAUUCGAGUUGUGCCAAUGUUAAGUUAUUAAUACCCCUAUUUUAAAAUGCAGAAUAGGCAAUUAUCUUUAAAUCUCACGCACUUUCAAGGUUAUCCCAGAAUGUCUAAUGGAGAUUUCCCCACAGUUGUAAAGCACAACAAACCAGAAAUAGCUUUCGUAUUGAUCCACUUAAGAGAUUUUUACC